GGAACACUGGAACUUUAUGGAAUCAGACAUUUUUAUUGAGUUCUUGAACAUCAUGCAAGAGUGAUUUAAAAUUUCAUUCUCCUGUUUAAGUUAUAUGCAUUUGUUGUCUCUAGCAAGUGACAAUUACAGAUUUUGUUCUGCUGUACAUCUUUGCAGUAACAAUGCCUGGUCAAUGAAAGUUCUCCACUUAUGAACUAUGUUAUGAAUGAGAGUUUUUCAAAACUUCCUGUGCACAUUAUUUCUUUUCUUUCAUUCUUGAAAGAAGAUGUUUUCCUUUUUAACAAAGUUGUUCACUUCCAUAUUCAUGUGGUUAUCUAUGUUGCAGGCUUUGCCUUGGUGCAUGGUCUG
rnacentral:misc_RNA from 1 species